CCUACGGGCGGCAGCAGUGAGGAAUAUUGGUCAAUGGGCGAGAGCCUGAACGAGCCAAGUCGCGUGAGGGAGUACUGCCCUAUGGGUUGUAAACCUCUUUUGUCGGGGAGCAAAAGCCGGACGUGUUCGGCCGUGAGAGUACGCGAAGAAAAAGCAUCGGCUAACUCCGGGCAAGGAGCCGCGGUAAUGCGGAGGAUGGAGGCGUUGUGCGGAUGUAGUGGGUAUAAGGGGUGCGCAGGCGGGUUUUAAAGUCAGCGGUCAAAUCGUGGGGCUGAACCGCAUCCAGCCGUUGAAACUGGGGAACUAGAGUGUGCGAGAGGGAUGCGGAAUGCGGGGUGUAGCAGUGAAAUGCAUAGAUAUCGAGCAGAACCCUGAUUGCGAAGGCAGGAUACCGGUGAACAACUGACGCUCAGGCACGAAGGCGUGGGUAUCGAAAGGGAUUAGAUACCCCGGUAGUC
rnacentral:rRNA from 1 species